rnacentral:rRNA from 1 species
UACGGAAUGCGCAAACGUUAUUCGGAAUCACUGGGCUUAAAGAGUCCGUAGGCGGCAUGUUAGGUGAGGUGUGAAAUCCCCCGGCUCAACCGAGGAAUUGCGCUUCAAACCGGCGUGCUUGAGGAAGAUAGAGGUGGGCGGAACUGAUGGUGGAGCGGUGAAAUGCGUUGAUAUCAUCAGGAACACCGGAGGCGAAGGCGGCCCACUGGGUCUUUUCUGACGCUGAGGGACGAAAGCUAGGGGAGCGAACGGG